rnacentral:SRP_RNA from 2 species
GCGCCGGCCCUUCGCGACGGCAAUCCGUGAACCCCGCCAGGCCCGGAAGGGAGCAACGGCAGCGGUGACGCCGGGCGCCGGAGAUCGUCGG